rnacentral:rRNA from 1 species
UGGGGAAUAUUGGACAAUGGGGGAAACCCUGAUCCAGCGACGCCGCGUGUGUGAAGAAGGCCUGCGGGUUGUAAAGCACUUUUAGUGGGGACAAAAAGCUACGGAUUAAUACUCUGUGGUCUUGAUUUAACCCAAAGAAAAAGCACCGGCUAACUCUGUGCCAGCAGCCGCGGUAAUACAGAGGGUGCGAGCGUUAAUCGGAAUUACUGGGCGUAAAGCGCGCGUAGACGGUUUUGUAAGUCAGAUGUGAAAUCCCUGGGCUCAACCUGGGAACUGCAUUUGAAACUGCAUGGCUAGAGUAUCGAAGAGGGAAGUGGAAUUUCCGGUGUAGCGGUGAAAUGCGUAGAUAUCGGAAGGAACACCAGUGGCGAAAGCGACUUCCUGGUCGAAUACUGACGUUCAUGUGCGAAAGCGUGGGGAGCAAACAGGAUUAGAUACCCUGGUAGUCCACGCCAUAAACGAUGACAACUAGAUGUUGGGAGGGUCUGCCUCUCGGUGUCGCAGCUAACGCGUUAAGUUGUCCGCCUGGGGAGUACGGCCGCAAGGUUG